CCAAGUCCCACACGAGGCUCCACGCCACAACCUCGAGAUCCUGACCUGAGCCAAACUAAAGAGUUGACGUGGAACUGACUGAACCACCCAGGAGCCCCUCAAAUGUUCCUAACUGCAACCCCACGCUGUGAACCCUGGGGGGCGGGGGGACAUCUGUGACCCCCAGUCUGCCUUGAAGGGCGGUUGGCCUGCAGGGCCCGAGGAUGGGAACUGAGGAUGCGGGAGGCUGCCAGCAUCGCCUUCCCGCCCGGCGUGGGGACAGGACCCUCCCCCGGGACCCUCGGCCUUCAGGGUGAAGGGCUGAGUGCUGAUUGGACCCCACCUGCCCACAGUCAUGAUGCGGUACCCCACACUGUGCAGAACUGUGGUGCCCCCGGGUUCCACCGCUGCCUGGUGCCCACUCUGCAUCUGCAGACCUUCGGAGGCAUUCGUGCUCCGGAUCUGGCUCGCAGCGACCCGACUCUCCUGCUCUCCCCAGUAGCCCAGGACUUCUCUCUCCUCAGUACCCCAACUCUCCCACUCUCCCCAGUACCCCAACCCUCCCACUCUGCCCAGUACCCCACCCUCCCACUCUCCUCAGUACCCCAACCCUCCCACUCUCCCCAGUACCCCAGUGCAUAAAGAGGAGGAGCUCACACAGCGACAGGGUCACAGGUGAGUGGCAGCUGAUCCCUGAUCCCCGCGGGCCACAGUGGGGCCUGUGGGUCCGGGUGGGGGCACAGGCCUCCGGGGCUGGGGUCCACAACACCCCGACCCCCCAUGCGAUGACCGUGAGCAGCUCCUACAGCCCUUCCACAGCCCCACGGGGUGAGAGCGGCCAGCGAAGGAGGCUGCAGUCAGAACUCAGGCAGCUCCCCCGGGACCCCCACUCCCCUGUAAGCCCUGUGCUGUGCAGUGACCCAAGCCAUGACCUUUCCAGCCUGUCCUCGAUGCAUGGACCCCGACAGGGGUGGCUGACAUCCCCCCCAUCCCGCCCUGUGCCCCCUGGGUCCCCCUGGCCCAUGAGCAGGCUUGCUCUUCACGCACUGGAACGUGGAGUCCCUCGUGCUCCCCCAGGCUCCCUUCAGGCUAUUCACACAUUGCUGCCCUCAGGGUGGGGAGUUUGGUCACACUAUAGCUGGCAUCAGGUUUUAAUUUUGAUGAAGUCCAGUCCAUCGCUUUCUCCCCUUGGUCGUCGCUUUCUCCCCUUGGUCGUGUGCUUGUGGAAUCUAAGAGAAACCUUUGAUACCCCCACCCCCAAGCCCGCAGGGACACUCGCUGGCCUGCCCACCCACCACCAUCUCUGUGCAGGCCCCGGGCUGGGAGACGUCACCCCCGAGCAUCAGCACGAUGCAGGAGGACCUGGAGACCCUGCUGGCCUUGCAAAGGGCCAAUAUCGUGGCCCAGUACCAUCAGGUGAGGCCCAAAAGGGACCAUAGACGCUACACACCCACGACAGGGGGGAACCAUACCUGCAAGAGCAGGUGAGGCUCAAGAGGGGAUCAGAGCCAAGGAUGAGCCAGGUCAGCCCAGACAAGGACCAUAGUCACCAGGAACAAGUGAGACCCUGGGGAUGGUCCCAGUGUCAGUAGCAACUAAGGGUCCAUCCUGGAUCCUAGUCAUUGGUAGCUGAGGAGCCCAGUCACCAGGUCCAGGUGAGCCCAGGUGGGGACCAGAGUCACCAGGUCCCGGUGAGGCCAAGGUGGGGACCAGAGUCACCAGGUUCAGGUGAGGUCCAUCUGUGAACCACAGUCUACUGGGUCUGGGUAAGGCCCAGGUGGGGACCACAGUCACCAGGUCCAGGUGAAGCCCAGUGGGGGACCACAGUCACUGGGUCNCCAGGUUCAGGAGGUCCAUCUGUGAACCACAGUCUACUGGGUCUGGGUAAGGCCCAGGUGGGGACCACAGUCACCAGGUCCAGGUGAAGCGCCGUGGGGGACCACAGUCACUGGGUCCAGGUGAGGCCACAGUGGGGAUCAUAGUCACCAGUUCCAGGUGAGGUCCAGGUGGGGACCAGAGUCACCAGGUCCCGGGGAGGCCAAGGUGGGGACCAGAGUUACCAGGUUCAGGUGAGGCCAAGGUGGGGACCACAGUCGCAGAUCCACAUGAGACCCAGGUGGGGACCAGAGUCACUAGGCCCAGGUGAGGCCCUGUUGGGGACCAGAGUCACCAGGUCCGGGUGAGGCCCAGGUAGGGAUCAGAGUCACCAGGUCCGGGUGAAGCCCAGUGGGGGACCACAGUCACCGGGUCCAGGUGAGGCCACGGUGGGGAUCACAGUCACCAGUUCCAAGUGAGGUCCAGGCAGGGACCAGAGUCACCAGCUACAGGUGAGGUCCAUCUGUGAACCACAGUCUACUGGGUCCAGGUGAGGCCCAGGUGGGGACCACAGUCACCAGGUCCAGGUGAGUCCCAGGUGGGGACCAUAGUCACCAGGUCCAG
ensembl:lncRNA